rnacentral:lncRNA from 13 species
AUGUCUAUUCUUCCCCAAAGGGUUGUGUGCAUGUGUGUGUGUGUGUGUGUGCGCAUGUGCACAUGCAUGCACGCAUUUGUGUGUGUGUUGAGCACUGACAAUAGAUUAGCAGAAUAUAGAUCAAGUAAAUUAAGACAAAUUGCAAUUGCGAUAGCAAGAACUCAUAAACUUUAUCAACAUUAUCCCCAGACCCCUGCAGAAGGAGGACAGAGAACAAUGUUGAUCCAAACUACAAAGGGUGGAUCACUUCUAGAGGAUCCUAGAAGAGCUCACUGCCAGACUACAGCUUCUCCCAUGAUUGUUUGGGUAGCCAAUUCAUCUGCUUAUGUCAGAUGCUUACAGAAUUCUUGUGGUUUACUUUACUCUUCACCAGAAAAAGAUGUGGAUGCCUUGAAAUUAGUAUCUGCACCGAUGCCAUCCUCAGUGAGAACACAAAGCAAUAGAGGCACAGUGAGAUUAAGUAACUUGCCCAAUGUGACACAGCAAAAAGUGGCAGAGACACAAUUUUAA